rnacentral:sRNA from 1 species
ACUACUGACCUGUGUCUUCAGCCCCCAAGGAACACUUUGAAGAGAUGCCCACCCUUUAUAGCUCAGGCUUUCACAGCUGUCCCAUUUUAGAUUUUAAAUUUCAAAUGUGGGAAUAAUGUAAUACAACACUUUACUAGUCUAAAAACCCAGGUAGUUCAAGUCUUGGCCACUACAAAAUUUUUUUCUAAGCAGCACAGAUGUUUAAACAGCACAGCUUUUGCCUUGAAGAACUGGGAGCUAACAAAAGCUCAAGUGCAAUAGGAAGGACUCAGGGAAAACAGACCGCACAGUUUACAACGAGAAAUCUUCAGGCUCACAGGUUUGGUCCACGGUGAAGGAGCCUGUAUGCUCCCUUCUACUGGGCUGUAAGGCUGGAAAUAAAGGCAUUUGAAAGGACGAAGUCACCUCCUGGGGAGAAGAGGAAGUACCCACCAAUCUUAGGAUAUUAGUGACUAAUUGUUUUACAGACACCUUCUCCCUCUUUAGCUGGAAAGCAAAGCUUUAUGCAAAGACUGAGCCUCCGCAGGACUCUGCUUGAGCGAAAGGAUCUUUAGGAAAACAAAGAGACAGAUUAUUAAUGCUAAAAAUGUAGAUGUGGGUUUCUGCGACCAUUUCAAGCCAGGUUUGAAAUAAUGGGCUCUGACCUCUUGCUAGGAGGUUAAAAGUGAUUGAAAACUGCAAGUCUUUUGAAAUUGUCUAGGCUGGUGGCAAACCUUAAGUUUGUCAUUCUGACCUUUGCUCGUGUAAAUAUAGGCAAGUUAUUUUGGAUGGCUCUAAAAGAGGUUAUAAAAAGCAAGUUUUCAGGCUUUUGUCCUUGCGGGAAAAGUCCCCUUUUUGCUUGUGUUCGGAAUUGCCUUUCUCCGAUGGUUUUUUGUGAUUAGCACUUGUUGGACACUUAAAGCAUUUCUUAUCCGGUAGAUAUAAUUGGAUCUCCUAUGUUUUGUGUCUUCAAAUGUAUCCCUGAGUGGCCGCCUUGAGAAAGCAUUUAGUGUUUCACUUGUUAAUGGAUUUCUUUCUAUCCUGGGUUUACUUCUGAUGCAACAAUCAUCGCAGACAUUUCCAAAGUGCUUCGUGUGCUCAAACACGGCAGCAUUCUUUGUAAGAAUGGUAAGUCUGAAGCCAUCUCCCUCAUCUCACUAUGCAGCGCUCUCUGCAGUAGACUUGGUUAAGGCGGCCAAGAAGGAAUAUGGAGGGCUGCUGGAGUUGGUCCUCCUCCUAACAU